AUGAGUAGGAGUUACAGUAUGGUCAAACACGAUCGGUUUGCACAGCCUGACCUCAUGUUUUUAAAUAGUUUGGCCGUUACGCUAGCUUCCUACUUGACACUAGUUCAAGGGAAGUGGCGGCACGCUCUGCUCGUGCCGGAAGUAGUCGCCGGCGUCCACCCUGCGCUUGACCUCUGCGAGUCUCCUAAAGUUUGCCGGACCGAAAUACCUCUCGCCCCACACCUUGCCACUUUGGUAGCUCGUUACUCCGCCGACCACCGUGUUCAUGCCAAUGUCGAGGUCCCGGUAGUUAACGUACGCGGCCCUCGGAUUCUUGCUCACGAACGGCGCCAUGAAGUCGUACAGGCUCCCGAUCCAGUUCGGCUUAGGCGUAGCGUCGCCCCCCGCCCCUUUGCCGUUCCAGUGCUGCACGUACUGGAUGUUGUAGAGCACGCUGCUCCGGUGCGGGAACGGGGUGUCGUUGGCGGUGAUGUGGCCCAUUCUUCCACCGUGCGGCUCCAGGACGAGCUGCCCCGACGCCGCGUCGUUGGGCCAGAGGAAGAUCUUCUCCCACGUCUCGUUGGUGAGGGCUUUCUCGACGUAGUCGGACUUGUUCUUAAUGAAGGGACCCAGGGCCAUGGACCGGUUGAUGGUGGCGUCGCCGAAGUAUAUGUACGCCGUGAACUGCAGCCAGCUCAUCUCCUUGCAGUCGGCGUGCGUCACGCCGAGCUCCGGGAAUCGGCUGCGCAACGUCGGCACCACCGCGUUGCACUUGCCGAGGUACAGGGCUUCGAAGGUGGCCUGACGAUUUUCUACGAUAACACGUACGGUGAGGUCGUCCGGGAGCACGGGCGCGAGCGUUUGCCAUUUGGUCACCGCGUUGACGGCGCCCUGGUCCAUGGUCUUGGCGAGUUUGAAGAAGGUCACCGUCGGUGGGACUGGCACGAGCCUCACCUUCCACGACAGCACGAUGCCGAAAUUGCCGCCGCCCCCGCCGCGGAUGGCCCAGAAGAGGUCGUCCCCCAUGGCCUUCUUGUCCGCCAACAGAUUCCCGUAGGCGUCGACCAUGGUGGCGUCGAGAACGUUGUCGGCGGAGAGGCCGUACUUGCGCAUCAUUAG
rnacentral:rRNA from 1 species